CGUGUAGGCGGGCAGACAAGUCAGACGUGAAAUUUUUCCGCUUAACGGAGAAACCGCGUUUGAAACUAUCUGUCUUGAGUACGGGAGAGGAAAGUGGAAUUCCUGGUGUAGCGGUGAAAUGCGUAGAUAUCAGGAGGAACACCUGUGGCGAAGGCGGCUUUCUAGCCCGAUACUGACGCUGUGGCGCGAAGGCUAGGGGGAGCAAACAGAAUUAGAUACUCUGGUAGUCCUAGCGGUAAACGUUGGGCACUAGGUGUUGGUUCCUUAAAGGAUCAGUGCCGAAGCUAACGCAUUAAGUGCCCCCGCCUGGGGGAGUACGGGCCGCAAGGUUGAAA
rnacentral:rRNA from 1 species